AUACGGGGGGUGCAAGCGUUAAUCGGAAUUACAGGGCGUAAAGCGCGCGUAGGCGGUUUGCUCAGUCGGAUGUGAAAGCCCAGGGCUCAACCUUGGAACUGCAUACGAUACUGGCAAACUAGAGUGUGAGAGAGGAUAGUGGAAUUUCCGGUGUAGCGGUGAAAUGCGUAGAUAUCGAAAGGAACAUCAGUGGCGAAGGCGACUGUCUGGCUCAACACUGACGCUGAGGUGCGAAAGCGUGGGUAGCAAACGGGAUUAGAAACCCUAGUAGUCC
rnacentral:rRNA from 1 species